rnacentral:rRNA from 1 species
CCUACGGGUCGCAGCAGUGGGGAAUAUUGGACAAUGGGCGAAAGCCUGAUCCAGCAAUGCCGCGUGUGUGAAGAAGGUCUUCGGAUUGUAAAGCACUUUCGACGGGGACGAUGAUGACGGUACCCGUAGAAGAAGCCCCGGCCAACUUCGUGCCAGCAGCCGCGGUAAUACGAAGGGGGCUAGCGUUGCUCGGAAUGACUGGGCGUAAAGGGCGCGUAGGCGGUUUAUGCAGUCAGAUGUGAAAUCCCCGGGCUUAACCUGGGAACUGCAUCUGAUACUGGCAAGCUUGAGUCUCGUAGAGGGGGGUAGAAUUCCAGGUGUAGCGGUGAAAUUCGUAGAUAUUGGGAAGAACACCGGUGGCGAAGGCAGCAACCUGGCUCGAUACUGACGCUGAGGCGCGAAAGCGUGGGGAGCAAACAGGAUUAGAUACCCGGGUAGUC